CCCGAAAAGAGGAGGCACCGCGCGCGCGGGAGCGGGGCUGCGGCGGCUGCAGGCGCAUCCCCGGCUGAGCACGCGUUCUGGGGAAGGGAAGGUUGCAGGGCAGUUAUCAAAGGCAGUCGAGUUCCUUUUCCUGACCCUCCCCCCCCCCUUUCCUCCUCGUUUCGAAAUCCGCUGUCCAUUUAAAGAAAUAGCGGUCGCUACCAACCGAAAUAGGUGACUCGACUGCAAAGUUGACAGGACGUGUUCCUGAGGAUAAUAUCCUUCCCCAGGACCACUGCUCUGAAACUGUCAUCGCCGGAUUGGAGGACCCUGAGAUCCUGCCAGGAGAGCAAUAAAUGAUUGGAAGAACAUUGAGGGGAAGUUAAGUCGAUGCUCCUCUGUCUUUUCAGUCAUCUUUCUAGAAGUAACAACAAUAAAUAGCUUCUGGUUUGCUACUGGACCUUAGAAGAAAUUGACUACUUGACUUUGGAUGACCGAGUCAUCAUGGAACUUAAACUGCCCAUUUUGAGCUAGGUGUUGUUUGACCCACUAAGCCAUUAUGUUGGGCAUGCACAGCUCACUCCAGCAUGAGUGGAAGUAAUAUACAAGACUGAGCUUAAGCAGAUCCUGAAGGAACAAAGAUAGUCAAUUGGCAAAUAUUCCAUGUGCUGCCCCACAUUUAGGGGCAGCGACAUGAGUAAUCCUGAAUAAUAGGAAUGAAAGUGACUGUUACUUCAGGUACACAGCUGGAAAAGGAUACCCAGUUCCUUCAAAAUACACAAGGAUGGAAAUGUUCAAAUUGUAAAUUUCAGAAUGAAUAUCCCAAAAUGGAGAAUGUGAGCAGAAGUGAUGUGGCAUUUUCGGGUCAAGAUUUAAGAAGCAAGUGUACGUUCUCCAUCAUCAUUUUCAUUCUACCAGCUGAAUUCAUUUGAAGAUGAGGACCCAACAGAAGACUAAACCCCAAGAUGGAAGGAGAUUGCAUCUUUGAACUACAUAACAGAGGAAAACUGCCCACCAACUGAGAGCACUUACCCUAGUUGGUUAAAUGAAUGAGAAAUAAACCUCUACUACAUUUCUGCUACAUAUUCUGGAGACUACUAUUUACUGCCCCUAGCCUUAUCCUAAUUAAUACAGAAAUUGACUCUUUGAAGGAAUGUUGCUAUAUUAAAAAGCUAAAGUAAAUACAUUUGGCCAAACAUUUGGGCAGCAGGUGGCAAAGAAACAUGUUGGGUGCUGGAGAGGUGGAGACCCAUGCUAUGUGUUGGCAAAGCAUUUUUAAAACUAUAUCUAUGAUAACUUAAAAGGCAGAAUCUAUUACAACAAUGGACUAGUGACUGCUAUAUGUUCUUCUCUUUCUUAAUAGUUUUUAUUAUGAUUAUCUCGUUCCUGUUUUAUCAUCAUAUAAUGAGCAGUGCAGGUAACUUCUCUAUAUGUUUGUAUAUCAUAGUACUGAGAGAGCUUUAGAUGGGAAGACUUCAUAUCUCCCAAAAUGCUGGACUUUGAGCCAAACGCUCGAACUAGAUAGGACUAUAAUAUGUAUCCUUAGAGUGAGCAAAAAAGGGUGUGCUUGAAUAUUUAGUGAAAAGAAUGGCAGACUGAGGAAGAGCCAAAACUUGUUAUCUCUUCCAAAUUUCGUCUAACCUAAGAUUUCAUUGGUUGUCAAAACCACAAUUUUCUGUACUACUAAGAAAGAAAAAAUACUGCCAACUAAAUAUGAAUUUGCUUUGAAUAUUUGUCCUUGAUUGAAUAACGCAUUCUUAUCAAAGAGAUGAUAAAGUGUGAAAAAUGUAUAGAUGAGGAGUAAUGAAAAAUAUUAAUUUUUUUCUGAGAACUGACUGUCCCAUCUAAAAUAAUAUUUUCUAAUCUCCUCUGUGCCCAGCUGUUGCCUUGAGAUUAUUUCUCACAAAUAGAUUAUGAAUGGAAGUGAGAUGUGUCACUUCUGGGCCAGAUUCUUUAAUAUGUGUAUACCUUGUCCAUACUCUCUUUUUUCUUCUGUAGCUAAAAGCAGAUGACAGUGAGAUCUAGGAGAUGGCAGAGCCACAAAGGGAAAAAAGAAAAAAGAAAACAAGCCUGGUUUCCUGAAUCACCAAAUGGAAGAAAGCCACCACAGACCAGAAAUUCCCAUACCGGUCUAUGAUGUGAUCAAGAAAUAAACUUCAAUUUUCUUUAAGUAUUCUAUGACAAUAUCAAGAAGGCAUUGAGGCACCACAAAGAACACCAGAUUGGAAAUUAAGAGACCUGAGUCCUGGGUUUUCUUGUUACCUAAUUUAUUGUUUGAAUUUCAGCGGAUCUCAUAACAACUUUAGGCCUUGAUGUUUUCAUUUGCAAACUGAGGAAGUAGAUCAAGAUUAUUGGUAAGUUGCUGUAAUCGGUGUUUCCUAAUCCUGUGGAAGUUAUGGAUUCAUUUUCAAAUAUGAAAAUACUGCUUCCUUCCUCUUUCUUUAAGAAUAUCUUCUAUAGUUGGAGGACUCCUAGAGCUGGAAGGAAAUUUGAGCAAGCUAGAUCAUCCAUGUCAUUUUCUUCCAGUCUCUUACUUUUACUUAUCAGUACUUCUUGUUUAUUCAUUUUGUUUAUUCAUUUAGUAACUCAAUGUUUUUACUUCAAAUAAUGACAUGGACAAUACCACUUAAAAUCCAUUUCUCAUGUAAGAAUCCUUUAUUCAUUCAUUCUCCUUGGGUCUGUCACUGUGUUCCAUGUUGUGGGUAUAAUGGUAAAUAAGAUAGACAUUUCCUUUCUACUAGAGAGACUGACAAAAAGAAGUUACCAAAAAAAUUAAUAAAAUAACUUUAAACUGUGAUAAUUACUGUGAAAGAAAUACACAUGACAUUGAGGAAUUAUAGGGAAAAAUCAUUUUAAUAAAGAGGGGUCAGGAAGACCUAUCUGAAAAGGUGACAGUUAAGCUGCAAUUAAAAAAAGAUAUGAAAAUAUUUGCAUGUAAAAGAGGAAGAAAAGGUAUUCAUACAGAAGGACUAACAUGUGCUAAGGUCCUGUGACAGAAAAGGAUGGAAUGUGGUUUAGAAACUUAAAGAACAGUAUCGACACAAGAAUGUCCAAACGUAUAGAAAACUUAUGAGUUUACUGGAGCCAAACUGAGGACAUGCCCCAAAGCAAGAUCUCAAAAUGCUCCGGAGAAAAGUAGUUUUGCAGUUCUUUUUAUAUAUUUGAAGCUAAAGGUUGGGGAAAUGAGGAAGGUUACGUGAAAUCCGUUGGUGGUAGAUUAAAGAGAUGGAGAAAGCAAGGUGGGGAGAUCCUCAUGAGUGGAUAAAAAGCAAAAUGAAGAGAUGCUCUUACACUGAUCUAUACAAGAUAAUUAACAUUUAACAUUUACAUUGAACAAGGCUGGUAUAUAGACAACAAGAUCACGUAAUCCCUUGAGGGUAGUUAUGCCUCUAAGGGGUCUGAAAAAGAGGAUCAUUCUGGCAUUACAAAGGUAUGUUAACCUCGAUACACAAGAACAAUGGACAGAGCUUGUUUAAGGCAAAGAUAAACCUUUUACUAAAUAAGUUAUGGGCUGGGAUGUGACUACCCAUCAUGACCCACCCAGUUACAAAUUUAUAAUCAGAUUACCUGUGAAAUUCUCUUUAGCCGCUGAGCUUGUCAGAUUUAUUACAUAGCCCCUUUUUUGUUCACAACAAUAUCUUGUAACUUAAUGAGAAAGAGAAUGGUGCAAGGUGGUGUUGGACAGAUAGCAGGGGCCGGGUUGUAUAGGACAUUUUGGACAUGGUAACUGCUUUGGGUUUGUUCUGCAAGCCUAGCCUCAAAAUCUAUACAUUUCAUUCAAUGUAUUAAUUACUUACUAUCAGCUUUAUUACUUACUUAUUUACUGUAUGUAUGUAUGUAUGUACGUACGUACGUAUGUAUGUAUGUAUAAGCCAGUUCUUGUGCACUAUUUUAGAUUUCCUGGCCUCAGUCAUCUUCAGUUUUUAGCUAUGAAGGAAAAGAAGAACUUUUUUCCUCUACCUUCCUAGGUUUAUUUGUUAGGUCCUGAAAAUAAACUGAUAAGAAAUAGAUUAGCAAGAGAAAAAAAAGGAAGAUUUAGUUGCAUAUACACCCAUGGGGAUUCCCAACAAAUGAAAACUCAAGGAGGUAGCCAGGUGAUUGAAGCUUGAUAUAUUUUAAGAUAAACAAAAGAAAGAAGUUUGGGGCUUCUGGGUGGGAAAUGCAAGUUAUGAGAAGGGGAAGGGAAGAAAUGUGUGGUAAAUAAGGGUUGUUUUGUUAUGCUGCUAAGAGCUGGCUCUGGGUGUAACUCUCUGUCUGGUAAGAGACACCUUUACAAAUGGAAAUUUCCUUUUUAAAUGUAAAUUUCCUUUGCAAAAGGGGAAAUUUAUACUCUAUUGUUAGGCAGUUAGAGGAAAGUAAAGAGCUUUUCCUUCAUCUGCAGGUUCUCAGUUGCCUUUAGCUCAAACUAAUCUGUAGGCCAAAUAGACAUAUUUUGGGGUGGCAUGUUCUGGUACCCUUCAUUCUGCCCUUUAAAGCUUUUUUUUUUCCCCCAUGAAAAGGCAUUUAUGUGGAAACAAAAAGAAAAACAAAGGUUAAUGGAUGAAGCAAAUGAUAAACCCACUUUCAGAGACCAGAGGGAAGUCGGUCAAAAAUAUUUCCAAAUGUUGGGCUUAAAAUAUUUUUAGAUAAUGAAGUGAGGAUGGCAGUGACAAUACGACUUUCAGUUUCCUGCUUUACUGUUUGAAUGUCUUGGUGAUGGCAUAUACGUGAGUGUCACAGUCAUGGUUAUUUUUUCAGAACAGAGCACGGAAACAUCACAUUAGCUAGUAGGACCCUUUUAGAUACUCCCAAUAAGGAUUUGGGCAAUCAGGUGUUAGUUAUCGAUGGUGUCAAAACAGAAGGAUGAGGGAAAAAUUGGAAUUGUUUAAUUACUGACAAAAUAUACAAAACACAGGAGCCAAUUUACAAUGAGGUGAAAACACUCAAAGACAACAAACAUGGCUAGAAUACAGUAACCCACAAAGAUGUACUAUAUCUUUUUUUAUUGAGGCAUAAAUUUUUUUCUCUCUCUGCAAUAACUCUAAUUUUUAUCAAAGAUAAAGUAAGACUAAUUUGCAAAAUAAAUCUAGUCUUAUUAAACUUGGCCUGAUUAUUUACAUAAGAGCAUCAAGGAUAAUAAUUGACCAUUUAGGCUCUUUUAAAUCUGGUUUGCUGGGAAUUUAAAUAAGGGAACUCAGAUCAGACUUUUAAAAACCUCUUGAGACUAAGAAGCCAAACCAAGAAUUUUCUAUUAGCCUUCACCUGCAAUACCUAUAGAUUUGGGUGAAUUCUUCCUUUCUCAAGGUUCCCAAUAUGUUUUAAAGUUCCUAGGCCUGUCAGGAAGUGAUCUUCCUUACUUACUUGGAAUGUCAGAAGUACUAUAAACCAGGUAUCGGUUAGACAUUCCAAGAGGGCUUUGUAAGCAUUGGCUCCACACAGUCAACCCUAGUUCCUUAAAGCUCUCAAGUUAUAUUAAAUUUCAUAUGAAUAUGCAUAAUUCUCAAAUAUGACA